UUCCUCCAGCAGUCCAAAAUAUUAGUCAAUGCUCGAAAGAGUGAACUAGCUAACUGAAAUCAAUUAUAAAAAUUGAUAACAUAAGAGAAAAUAAUGAUAUUACCUUAUUAUUAGUGUCGUCCAAAACUGGUGCCAGAAGACUCGGUAAGGCCAGAGACACAAACGUUAAUCGUCUUAAUCAGGCGUAAAGGGUUUGUAGGCGGCUUUUAAUUAAUUUAAAAAAAUAUUAAAAGUUAAGAAAUUAAUUUAUAAAAUAUUAAAAAGUUAAGAAUAAAAGCUAGAAUCAAAUAGAGGAUAUAUCAAAAAAUGCUUAGUGUAGGUCUGAUAUCCUUAAAUACUAAGUAGAAUAUUAAAGGCGAAAGCUUUUUUCCAUUAAUGAUUGACGCUCAGAAACGAAGGUGAGGAUAGGAAAUAGGAUUAGAUACCCAAAAUACCCCUCUCUGUCAACGAUGAAUGGUAAUUAUUAAUAAUAAAUUUAUUAAUGAUAAUGUUAACACGAUAACCAUUCCGCCUUGUGAGUACAACUGCAAAGUUGAAAACAAAAAAAUUAGUCGGUUUCGGAGCAAACGAAGUGAAGCAUGUUAUUUAAUUCAAUAAUCCGCAAAA
rnacentral:rRNA from 1 species